GCCCGCCUAGCCCAAAGGCAAGAGGCGUCGCGCUUAGACCGCGAAGGUUCCCGGUUCGAGUCCGGGGGCGGGCA
rnacentral:tRNA from 1 species